GUGGCUGGCGGCUGGGUGCCUUCUACUGGUGCUGCGCAGAGGCUUUCCCUAAGGCUGCUGUGAGCCUGUAGGGUUUCCCCCUAGGCUACUAAGCUGG
rnacentral:pre_miRNA from 1 species